GAUGAACGCUGGCGGCGUGCCUAAUACAUGCAAGUCGAGCGACCAGACGAGGAGCUUGCUCCUCUGACGUUAGCGGCGGACGGGUGAGUAACACGUGGAUAACCUACCUAUAAGACUGGGAUAACUUCGGGAAACCGGCGCUAAUACCGGAUAAUAUAUUGAACCGCAUGGUUCAAUAGUGAAAGACGGUUUUGCUGUCACUUAUAGAUGGAUCCGCGCCGCAUUAGCUAGUUGGUAAGGUAACGGCUUACCAAGGCAACGAUGCGUAGCCGACCUGAGAGGGUGAUCGGCCACACUGGAACUGAGACACGGUCCAGACUCCUACGGGAGGCAGCAGUAGGGAAUCUUCCGCAAUGGGCGAAAGCCUGACGGAGCAACGCCGCGUGAGUGAUGAAGGUCUUCGGAUCGUAAAACUCUGUUAUUAGGGAAGAACAAAUGUGUAAGUAACUAUGCACGUCUUGACGGUACCUAAUCAGAAAGCCACGGCUAACUACGUG
rnacentral:rRNA from 1 species